rnacentral:rRNA from 1 species
CAAAGGUCGGCUCAAGGCGUUUGGAAAUCGCCUGUAGAGUGUAAGGGCAUAAGCCGGCCUGACUGCGAGACACACACGUCGAGCAGAGGCGAAAGCCGGGCCUAGUGAUCCGGUGGUCCCGUGUGGAAGGGCCAUCGCUCAACGGAUAAAAGGUACCCCGGGGAUAACACGACUGUUGUCCCACAUCCUGAGCAAUCAGGAUGUCAGCACGCGGCUUAUAACGGGAGAGCCCUCGAACCGGGUACCCUCAGGCCAUCGCCUGAGUGAGGGUAAUCCCGUGGGAAGUCGGGAGGGACACGAUGAUCACCAAACGGCAGCGUGAGCUGAUCCUGGGAGCGGUCUUGGGCGAUGGCUUCCUGCAGAAGACGGGGAAGCGCAAUGCGCGCUUGCGUUUGGAACAUUCCGAGAAGCAGCGCGACUAUCUCUGGUGGAAAUAUGAGACCCUGUCGAACCUGAUGCAGGAUAAGCCGAAGCCCAUCCAGCGCUUUCAUCCACGCUGGAAGAAAGCCUACACAUACUACCGCUGCCAGACGCACGCCAUGCCGCUCUUGGGGCGGUACCAGCGCGCUUUUUACGACGAGCAAGGUAGAAAGCGCGUGCCUCAGCAGAUCAAGCGCUGGCUGAAAGCGCCGCUCACUCUCGCCGUUUGGUACAUGGACGACGGGCACUAUUACCCGCGCGAUCGGAGCGCCUACAUCUACCUGCCGCGAUAUUCCCGUGAGGAAGUGGCGUGGUUGAUCGAGGCGCUCAGUGAGAACUUCGGGCUUCGGGCUCGGGCGAUCGUCAAAAAGGGCUAUCCUGUCCUCUACUUCGAUCCCCGAGAGACCGAGCGUCUGAAGGCCAUUGUUCGCGAGUGGGUUCACCCGUCCAUGGAGUACAAGCUCCCUCCUGACCCUGUAACGACUGAAGGCGCGUUGCCUGAGAGUCCUGCCCCUGUGCAGGGCUAAGACGCCGCGCUCCCUUGUCGCGGGCAAGGGAUGAAGAGAUAGUCUACCCCUUCUGGUAACAGAAGGAGCAGGGAACAGGCUGAUCGGGGCCAAGAGUUCACAUCGACGCCCCGGUUUGGCACCUCGAUGUCGGCUCAUCGCAUCCUGGGGCUGAAGAAGGUCCCAAGGGUUGGUCUGUUCGCCCAUUAAAGCGGUACGUGAGCUGGGUUUAGAACGUCGCGAGACAGUUCGGUCCCUAUCUGGUGUGGGCGCAGGAGACUUGAGGGAAUCUGGCCUCAGUACGAGAGGACCAGGCUGGACCAGCCUCUGGUGUACCGGUUGUCACGCCCGUGGCAGCGCCGGGUAGCUAGGCUGGGUAGGGAUAACCGCUGAAGGCAUCUAAGCGGGAAGCCCGACCCAAGAUAAGGUCUCCCUGAAGGGCCCUGGUAGACGACCAGGUUGAUAGGCCGGAGGUGGAAGCGCCGCAAGGCGUUAAGCUGACCGGUACUAAUCGCCCGUUCGGCUUGACCACAA